GACCCCGUAGCUCAGUGGAUAGAGCGCGUCCCUGCGGAGGACGAGGCCGGGCGUUCGAAUCGCCCCGGGGUCGCCG
rnacentral:tRNA from 1 species